GACGUUAGCUGCAGAAGAAGCACCGGCUAACUCCGUGCCAGCAGCCGCGGUAAUACGGAGGGUGCGAGCGUUAAUCGGAAUUACUGGGCGUAAAGCGCAUGCAGGUGGUUGUUAAGUCAGAUGUGAAAGCCCGGGGCUCAACCUCGGAAUUGCAUUUGAAACUGGCAAACUAGAGUACUGUAGAGGGGGUAGGAAUUUCAGGUGUAGCGGUGAAAUGCGUAGAGAUCUGAAGGAAUACCGGUGGCGAAGGCGGCCCCUGGACCAGAUACUGACACUCAGAUGCGAAAGCGUGGGGAGCAACAGGAUUAGAUACCUGGUAG
rnacentral:rRNA from 1 species